rnacentral:lncRNA from 1 species
UGAAAGCGCUCCCGAGAAGCAGAGAAAAGUCAUGACAUUAGAAGAAAAAGUUGGAUUCCUUGUGUUCUCAGAAACUCCCACAAGACAAUAAAAAUGAGUCAACAGAAGCACCUCGUGGUUGACAGUGUCUUGUUGAAGAUAAAGGACACACCUGACCCUCACAUACAAGAAACACUGCCUUCUGCAGGGAAAAGAUUCAACA